rnacentral:rRNA from 1 species
UACGUAGGGGGCAAGCGUUGUCCGGAAUCAUUGGGCGUAAAGCGCGUGUAGGCGGCCCGGUAAGUCCGCUGUGAAAGUCCAGGGCUCAACCCUGGAAUGCCGGUGGAUACUGUCGGGCUCGAGUCCGGAAGAGGCGAGUGGAAUCCUGGUGUAGCGGUGAAAUGCGCAGAUAUCAGGAGGAACACCAAUGGCGAAGGCAGCUCGCUGGGACGGUACUGACGCUGAGACGCGAAAGCGUGGGGAGCAAACAGG